rfam:Ostreococcus tauri virus 2, complete genome
GCUCUUAUAGUGUAGUGGUCAUCACUUUGGACUUUGAAUCCAACAACCCUGGUUCAAAUCCAGGUAGGAGCU